rnacentral:rRNA from 1 species
UCCGGAUUUAUUGGGUUUAAAGGGUGCGCAGGCGGAAGAUUAAGUCGGCGGUGAAAUUUUGCAGCUCAACUGUAAAAGUGCCAUCGAUACUGGUUUUCUUGAGUGUGGAUGAAGUAGGCGGAAUUUGUGGUGUAGCGGUGAAAUGCAUAGAUAUCACGAGGAACUCCGAUUGCGCAGGCAGCUUACUAGGCCAUAACUGACGCUCAGGCACGAAGGCGUGGGGAUCAAACAGGAUUAGAUACCCUGGUAGUCCACGCAGUAAACGAUGAUUACUCGCUGUUUGCGAUACACAGUAAGCGGCUUAGCGAAAGCGUUAAGUAAUCCACCUGGGGAGUACGUUCGCAAGAAUGAAACUCAAAGGAAUUGACGGGGGCCCGCACAAGCGGAGGAACAUGUGGUUUAAUUCGAUGAUACGCGAGGAACCUUACCCGGGCUUGAAAUGCAUCUGACAGGAGCAGAGACGCUCUCUCCCUUCGGGGCAGAUGUGUAGGUGCUGCAUGGUUGUCGUCAGCUCGUGCCGUGAGGUGUCGGCUUAAGUGCCAUAACGAGCGCAACCCUCAUCAUUAGUUACCAUCAGGUUAAGCUGGGGACUCUAAUGAGACUGCCAUCGUAAGAUGUGAGGAAGGUGGGGAUGACGUCAAAUCAGCACGGCCCUUACGUCCGGGGCGACACACGUGUUACAAUGGAUGGUACAAAGGGCAGCUACAUGGCGACAUGAUGCUAAUCUCCAAAACCAUUCUCAGUUCGGAUCGAAGUCUGCAACUCGACUUCGUGAAGCUGGAUUCGCUAGUAAUCGCGCAUCAGCCACGGCGCGGUGAAUACGUUCCCGGGCCUUGUACACACCGCCCGUCAAGCCAUGGAAGCCGGGGGUACCUGAAGUUCGUAACCGUCAAAGGAGCGACCUAGGGUAAAACUGGUGACUGGGGCUAAGUCGUAACAAGGUAACCGUA